AUGGAUGUGAUGGAGCGAUUUGGUGGCAGCGCAAUGGAUACUUGUGUUGUUGUGGAUGAGAAGGCCUUUCGCAGGGGUCUAAAUUUAAGGGGAGGACGCGGGGUGGGAUGGCUGCAUCGGAUGAACUGCACGAUCUCGCUGACGAUGCGGUUGUGCAGAUCAUGGGUUGGUGUUGCGUCUGUGAUCGUGGGCUUGUGGCAUUGGAACCACUCCGAUUGGGUGGUUGUAAUCCGGAACUGGAUUGCUAUACCGUACUGCUUCAUAGAACUGCAUCAUGUGCGUUUUGAUGUAGUCUGUCUUAUUUUAGCCGGGUCGUUUUUGGGCCGGCCCGUUUUAUGUUACCCUUUGCCACACGCGGGCCUCCUACGUGUUCCUUCCAGGCGAUCCCACCGCUCCGCUGACAGGGAGAGAGACCGAGAACAAUGCCCUCUCCUCUCUUGCAGUUUCGCCCGAGGCAUCUCUCCCUCGAGCAAAACCGUCGUCACCCGCAGCAACCGCCAUCGCCUGAGGAACCGCCGCCCUCAAGAGGUUCUUAUUCCUGCAUUCCGCGUCAUCGUCCGCUCCGCGAGCUCUUGCCGCUGCGCUGCCGCAGCCCUCUCCUGUCCGUUCCCGUCGCCGCACCCCCCUCCCCGCCAUCGCCGCCGUCGCCGCACCUUUUUGUGCAAGGUGGAUCUAGGGUUUCGUGAGAUUUUCGCUGAUUUUGUUGCUUAUAUCUGUCAGUUCAUCCUUGUGCUGCAGGCAAACGCCAUGUCUUCGCCGAGCAGAGUGGGAGGAGGAGUUCAGGGUGAUUGCAGUACUCAUAAUGAUACACCAAUUGGCUCUCGUUGUCCUGGUGGUAAGGAUCAUGGUGUCGAGGGAGGACAUCAAUUGAAUUCGCCGAUUGAAUCUUCUCCCAUAAGUGUGGCCCCUCCUUCUGUGUUUGUUUUCCAUGCCGGGGCGCCUGGGUUUGAGGAGGUUACUCAAUUGAUUGACCAUUAUUUUGCAGAGGAGGAAGUUACACAGGAUUGGAUGGUCUCAAAACAGCUUCGUGAAUAUGAGUUGAAGCAAAGCAAUAAGAAGUUGAGGCUGAGUACUGUUGCUGAGGAAGGUGGUACACCACGGCGGAGUCCACGUGUUGCUGGCAUGAACAAUAAUCUUGGCAAGAGAACUGCUGAAGCUGGUGGAAAGGAUGAUCCUCAGCACAAGCGACUACAUGUCACUGAAGGUCCCAACUCUGAUGAUGACGACUUUGUGCUUGCUGAUUUUGUGAGGGAUGUUCAUAGUGGUAAACGCAAAGACUGUGGUUCAUCUAAGAGUUUACCCAAGCAUGCCCGUGAUGAUGUCGAUGAAGAUGUUGGUGGUGACUCUGGCGAGGAGGUGGAUGUUGUUCCAAAGAGGAAGAAGUCUAGUAAGAGCAAUGCAGCUGGACAUGAUGCUGAGGGAGAUGAUUCUCGAUUUAACAAGACCGUACGUUUGUCGCUUCCCACUGUUUGCAAGGCUGCUGCUUUGUUGAAAGAGGCACACUGUAGUCGUGUUCGGGAUGCUGGAUUUGGUAUUGUCUUUGAACUGACAGUAAAGAAAAAUGUGUCGCGCAUUCUUAUGUGCUAUCUGAUGGGAGUGAUUGACCCUGCCACCAUGAUAAUGGACUUUGGGAAUGGCAGGGUUCUUCGAAUCAAUCGUGAUGCAGUUCAUCACAUUUUUGGUUUACCCAUGGGACGUCACACUGCACCCAUGCCUGCUGCCAGCGGCCAUGAUGACUCGUUGACUGCCCUCAAGGAUGAGCUUGGCUUUGACUGUUCAAAAAGUAUAGGUGUCAAGGAAUUGCUUGAGAAGUUGAAGGUGUUGGUGGAGGAAGAUGAUCAUGUGACUAUUGACCUUGCUGUGAAGGUGUUCUUCCUGAUACUCUACCAGAAUUUGCUAUGCCCCGGGCCUGCAGUUCGUUUGGGUAGAGUUGCUGCAAUGGUAGAGAACAUGGAUUAUGCGGCUAUGGCUCAGAUGGACUUUUGCCAGCUUGUUGUUGAUGAGUUCCAGGCAGCUGUGGUGAGGUGGCAAACAGAAGGCAGCAAGCAGAAUUGUGCAGAGGGUUGUGCCAUUGUCCCCCUGAUUAUGUAUCUUCACUAUUUGAAACUUCGCAAAUUUUUAGUCAUGCACACAUUGACGCCACGUGCGUCAUACCUGACGACCAAGGACCUGAUGAAGUUAUACAAUGAGGAUGUGCUUGUAAAGGGAAAGAUUUACUUGGAAACUUACAAAUUUGGGAAGCUGCCGGCUGGAGUGGAAUCUUCUGGUGUCCAUGGAACUAGGGACGAUGGAAUUGGUCAGACUGGUGUUGCUGCUUGUGAUGUGCACAAAGAGUCCUACGAUGGCUCUGGGAAGGAUGAGGUCUUGGCUGAUGCAUCGUCCCCUCCGGAUGUUGUAGCUGAUAAGCCUGGAGAAGAAAACAUGGAAGUUCAUGUUGAUCUAAAUCAGGGCGGUUGUGCUGUUGAUGGUGGUGGCAGUGUUGAUGCUUCUGCAUCGGUUGCCGUUGACUGUGCAGACCUUCUGUAUCUCAAGAAUCCCAUGAUGCUGUUUCCCCUAGUCGGCAUGAAGAUUCUGAUAUUGGCAUUGAAAAGCCGCUAG
rnacentral:rRNA from 1 species